GAAACCAACAGGGAUUGCCCUAGUAACGGCGAGUGAAGCGGCAACAGCUCAAAUUUGAAAUCUGGCGCAAGCCCGAGUUGUAAUUUGUAGAGGAUGCUUCAGGGCAGCGGCCGGUCUAAGUUCCUUGGAACAGGACGUCAUAGAGGGUGAGAAUCCCGUAUGCGACCGGUUGGCACCCGUCACGUAGCUCCUUCGACGAGUCGAGUUGUUUGGGAAUGCAGCUCUAAAUGGGAGGUAAAUUUCUUCUAAAGCUAAAUACCGGCCAGAGACCGAUAGCGCACAAGUAGAGUGAUCGAAAGAUGAAAAGCACUUUGGAAAGAGAGUUAAAAAGCACGUGAAAUUGUUGAAAGGGAAGCGCAUGCAACCAGACUCGUCGGCGGUGUUCCGCCGGUCUUCUGACCGGUCCAUUCGCCGCCGGCGGGCCAGCAUCACUUGGGGGCGUCGGAUAAAGGCGCGGGGAAUGUGGCCCCUCGGGGUGUUAUAGCCCCGCGCACAAUACGACGACCCGCGAGUGAGGUCCGCGCUUCGGCUAGGAUGCUGGCGUAAUGGUUGUCUGCGGCCCGUCUUGAAACACGGACCAAGGAGUCUAACAUCUAUGCGAGUGUUCGGGUGUCAAACCCCUACGCGUAAUGAAAGUGAACGGAGGUGGGAGCUUAGGCGCACCAUCGACCGAUCCUGAUGUCUUCGGAUGGAUUUGAGUAAGAGCAUAGCUGUUGGGACCCGAAAGAUGGUGAACUAUGCCUGAAUAGGGUGAAGCCAGAGGAAACUCUGGUGGAGGCUCGCAGCGGUUCUGACGUGCAAAUCGAUCGUCAAAUUUGGGUAUAGGGGCGAAAGACUAAUC
rnacentral:rRNA from 1 species